AGUAGGACACUCUUGCGAUGAGCAGUUUAAAAGAAAAGCUACACCUCGCUUGUCUUGGCCGAUCAUACAUCUCAUCGCCAAGACUAGUGUUUCUACCUAUGCAUGUAGUGAGGUUAAGCUUCUUUGAAGAUUUUAAGCUCCUAUAUCUUACGUUCCAUCAUUCGGAUAAGAACAAGACCAUCCUAGUAGUGAUCACUUUCUUUCCAAGAAUCAUCUAUGAGAACACCGAUAUUCAGAUCCCUUUUUCCCUAGAUCUCUAGAUGAGAGUGAAUAUCCGCCACCAUCGAUCCUAGAUUAUCAUCCGAAAUCUCUACCUGAGCUAACUCACAUGCUUGCUCCUCAUUUUCCGCUAGCCGCAAAAUCGCAAGUGGACUUUUAUCCACAUAAUUAUAAAUCUUAUCAUUUCUAGCUUUCCACAAUUACAAAAUGAUCCAUGGAAAUGAUAUGCAUGUGUAGACAUCAUAUGGUGUUAUUCAAAACAAGUAAUCAAUAUUUGCAUAAAGUGAGUCUGAAGAAAAACCUCUGGUGCCGUUGGGAUCUAUGAUAAAGCCCAUGUCUGAUAAAGCCCAUGUCUGGCGCGCUAGUGGGCAUUCAAAAAUAACAUGAUUGAUUGUCUCUUCUGGAUCUUCACAUCUAUCACAUCAUGUAUCACAUUUAAUACCGUUUCUUCGAAGCUUUGAUGUAACGGAGACACACCCAGCUAGAACUUGCCACAUAAA
rnacentral:lncRNA from 1 species